rnacentral:rRNA from 1 species
UACGUAGGGGGCUAGCGUUAUCCGGAAUUACUGGGCGUAAAGGGUGCGUAGGCGGCCCCGUGUGUCGGAUGUGAAAGCUCCUGGCUUAACCGGGAAACGGCAUUCGAAACUGCGGGGCUAGAGUACAGGAGAGGAGAGCGGAAUUCUCGGUGUAGCGGUGAAAUGCGUAGAGAUCGAGAGGAACGCCGGUGGCGAAGGCGGCUCUCUGGAAUGAUACUGACGCUGAGGCACGAAAGCUGGGGGAGCAAACAGG